CAAUAGCGUAUAUUAAAGUUGCUGCAGUUAAAAAGCUCGUAGUUGGAUUUCAGGGUUUCGGGGCCGGUCUGCCGAAAGGUAUGCACUGGUCGCGGGAUCCUUCCUUCUGAAGACUGCGUUUGCCAUUAAUUUGGUGGGCGUAUGGAUUCAGAUCGUUUACUUUGAAAAAAUUAGAGUGUUCAAAGCAGGCAAUUCGCCUUGAAUACAUAGCAUGGAAUAAUAGAAUAGGACUUUGGUUCUAUUUUGUUGGUUUCUAGGACUGAAGUAAUGAUUAAUAGGGAUAGUUGGGGGCAUUCAUAUUUAAUUGCUAGAGGUGAAAUUCUCAGAUUUAUGAAAGAUGAACUUCUGCGAAAGCAUUUGCCAAGGAUGUUUUCAUUAA
rnacentral:rRNA from 1 species